rnacentral:lncRNA from 1 species
CCGCAGCAGCCGCAGCAGCAGCGGCCCCAGGAUGGUGAGCGCCGCUGACCCCCAGCCCUGGCCCGUCGCCCCCGGCCCGCGCUUCCGCCCCGGUCCCUGGGCCGGACGCCCCCCCAGGCCGCGCACACUCACCUAGGACCCGGCCGGGAUGCCGAGCUCUGUUGAAGAUGCACUGGACACCGGAACACGCCCAGCCCCUAAACCAGUGGCCAGAGCAGCACCUGGACGUCUCCUCCACCACUCCGUCGCCGGCUCACAAGUUGGAGUUGCCUCCAGGGGGUCGCCAGCGCUGCCACUACGCUUGGGCACACGACGACAUUUCCGCCCUCACAGCCUCCAACCUCCUCAAGCGCUACGCCGAGAAGUACUCCGGAGUCCUGGACUACGAGCGCCCGGGCCUGGGCAGCUACGGUGACGCCGCCUUCCUCAACGGUGCCAAAGGGGACCCGGAGCCCUGGCCCGGGCCAGAGCCACCUUACCCUCUAGCCUCGCUCCACGAAGGCCUCCCGGGAGCCAAGGCGGCUGGCGCGGGUGGCUCCGCCGGCCUCGGGGGCUCCCCGGUAGUAGCUGGCAACCUGACUGAGCCGCUGUACACGGGCAACGCGUGCGGGGGACCGUCGGCGGCCACUGAGUACGCGGCGGGCUACGGAGGCGGGUACCUGGCGU